rnacentral:rRNA from 1 species
CCGGCGCACGGGUGCGUAACGCGUAUGCAACCUACCAUCAACAGGGGGAUAACACUGAGAAAUUGGUACUAAUACCCCAUAAUAUCUCAUGCGGCAUCGCGUGGGGUUGAAAACUCCGGUGGUUGAUGAUGGGCAUGCGUUGUAUUAGCUGGUUGGUGAGGUAACGGCUCACCAAGGCGACGAUACAUAGGGGGACUGAGAGGUUAACCCCCCACAUUGGUACUGAGACACGGACCAAACUCCUACGGAAGGCAGCAG